GUGAAUCAUCAAAUUUUUGAACGCAAAUUGCACUCUCUUCGGAGAGUAUGCCUGUUUGAGGGUCAGUAUUAAUAAAAAUCGGUGUGUUGCUUCUUUGUGACGCUCCGGAGUUUGGGUCAUCUUAAUAUCCUUUAGGUUUUAAGAGGCUUAAAAUUGACUUUUUUUGCGCAUUUUAGAUGUACAUAAAUUCUUUUUUUUUUUCUUUUGUUUUAUUCCUAAAAUUCUUAUAAAUUGCACCA
rnacentral:misc_RNA from 1 species